GGGAGGUAGUGACAAUAAAUAACAAACCAGGGCUCUUACGAGUCUUGUUAUUGGAAUGAGUACGAUUUAAAUCUCCUAACGAGGAACAAUUGGAGGGCAAGUCUGGUGCCAGCAGCCGCGGUAAUUCCAGCUCCAAUAGCGUAUAUUAAAGUUGUUGCAGUUAAAAAGCUCGUAGUUGAACUUCAGGCCUGUCCAGAUGGUCCGCCUUAAUUGGUGUGUACUGUCCUUGGGUGGGUCCUACCUUCUGGCGAAGCGGCAUGGCCUUAGUUGGUUGUGUCGGGGAACCAGGACUUUUACUGUGAAAAAAUUAGAGUGUUCAAAGCAGGCAAAUAUGCUCGAAUACAUUAGCAUGGAAUAAUGGAAUAGGACGAUGGUUCUAUUUUGUUGGUUCUAGGACCGUUGUAAUGAUUAAUAGGGAUAGUUGGG
rnacentral:rRNA from 1 species